rnacentral:rRNA from 1 species
AUUGAACGCUGGCGGCAUGCUUUACACAUGCAAGUCGAACGGUAACAGGCCGCAAGGUGCUGACGAGUGGCGAACGGGUGAGUAAUGCAUCGGAACGUGCCCAGUCGUGGGGGAUAACGCAGCGAAAGCUGUGCUAAUACCACAUACGAUCUAUGGAUGAAAGCGGGGGACCGUAAGGCCUCGCGCGAUUGGAGCGGCCGAUGUCAGAUUAGCUAGUUGGUGAGGUAAAGGACCACCAAGGCGACGAUCUGUAGCUGGUCUGAGAGGACGACCAGCCACACGGGGACUGAGACACGGCCAAGACUCCUACGGGAGGCAGCAGUGGGGAAUUUUGGACAAUGGGCGCAAGCCUGAUCCAGCAAUGCCGCGUGCAGGAAGAAGGCCUUCGGGUUGUAAACUGCUUUUGUACGGAACGAAACGGUCUGGGUUAAUACCCUGGGCUAAUGACGGUACCGCAAGAAUAAGCACCGGCUAACUACGUGCCAGCAGCCGCAGUAAAAC